UACGGAGGGUGCAAGCGUUAUCCGGAUUCACUGGGUUUAAAGGGUGCGUAGGUGGGCAGGUAAGUCAGUGGUGAAAUCUCCGGGCUUAACCCGGAAACUGCCAUUGAUACUAUCUGUCUUGAAUACCGUGGAGGUGAGCGGAAUAUGUCAUGUAGCGGUGAAAUGCUUAGAUAUGACAUAGAACACCAAUUGCGAAGGCAGCUCGCUACACGAAUAUUGACACUGAGGCACGAAAGCGUGGGGAUCAAACAGG
rnacentral:rRNA from 1 species